AAGUUCGGGGGUGUUUAUACAUGUCAAAUUGCAAACUUGAAGUGGGCCGUCAAGGCUUCGAACUU
rnacentral:tRNA from 1 species